rnacentral:rRNA from 1 species
CCUACGGGGGGCAGCAGGGAGGAAUAUUGGUCAAUGGACGAGAGUCUGAACCAGCCAAGUAGCGUGAAGGAUGACUGCCCUAUGGGUUGUAAACUUCUUUUAUAUGGGAAUAAAACAGGGUAUGCAUACCCUCUUGUAUGUACCAUAUGAAUAAGGAUCGGCUAACUCCGUGCCAGCAGCCGCGGUAAUAUGGAGGAUCCGAGCGUUAUCCGGAUUUAUUGGGUUUAAAGGGAGCGUAGGUGGAUUGUUAAGUCAGUUGUGAAAGUUUGCGGCUCAACCGUAAAAUUGCAGUUGAAACUGGCAGUCGUGAGUACAGUAGAGGUGGGCGGAAUUCGUGGUGUAGCGGUGAAAUGCUUAGAUAUCACGAAGAACUCCGAUUGCGAAGGCAGCUCACUGGACUGCAACUGACACUGAUGCUCGAAAGUGUGGGUAUCAAACAGGAUUAGAUACCCCUGUAGUC